CCAUGGAUAAAUCUCCAUGCGUUUGUCUUAGCUUCGUGCAUGGGUAAUUAUAAUGGCUUUUUGCUCAUUUGGCUUCUUCCAACACAAAAAAUGAUAUGAGAUAAUUUGUGUUUAAUUUCCCAUUUGUCCUAUUGCGUUUUUAACAAAAGAGGUGGUGAUUGUAAGAACUUGGAAUUGUAAAAAAGUGUCAACAAUUUUAGUAGAAGCAUAAAUCCAUAUGAAAAGUCAAAGAUUUAUAAACGCUAUUAAAAAAAUUAAGCUGAAAAUCAAUUAUAAAAUAAUGCUACAAGUAUUAAGGUGUACAAAGGGUAUUUUUUGUAGUUCUAUAAGGUGUACUUAGUGAAUUUUACAUUUUAAUUAAAAUAUUAGGGUGUAUUUAAAUGAUAGAGUGUAUUCAAUUAAUUUUCGUUUAGCAACACUCUACUAGAAACAUACAUAAAUAAGGUUCAA
rnacentral:lncRNA from 1 species